rnacentral:lncRNA from 1 species
GGGGCGCUGGGACACAGGUUCAAUCCCCAGCCUAGUACAGUUGGGUUAAGGAGCCAGCAUUGCUGCAGCUUUGGCUUAGGUCAAGAGUGUGGCUCAGAUCUGAUUCCUGGCUCGGGGGUUCCACAUGCUGCGGGGCGGCCAAAGAUGAAAAAAAAAAAAAAUCUUUUCAUGGGAUAAAACAUGGCAAGUUGAUCUGUGGAGAACAUGAUUGGGAGCUGGUAUUAACUGUAAGCUGACAAACUAUUUCUCAUGAGAUAAGUGUUCACGUUGUUUGGAGGCGGGUGUGGGAGAAAACUUCAGGUUGGGGAUCAGAAUUUAGCGCUAAUGUUCUGUGACUCCAGCUGUUAACUGCUUUCUCACCCUGGGUCUCAGUUUGUCUGGUCUGUGAAAUGGCGAGGAUGGCGCUCGCCCUGUAUGGACUAGCUGAGCCAUCAUCUGCACCGGAACAGAGCCCGUGUGGGUCCUUUUUCUUUCUGGGGCUUCUUGACAUUCUGGGAGAAGCUGCAGCUCAUCCUGGAAGAAUCGCUGGGUUUCCAUUCUGCCUCUUCAAGCACCACCUCCCCUGAAGGGGCCUGGCAUGGCAAGCAGCGAUGUGUGGUCAGUGUCAUCUGGAGAGCAGUGAUGGGCGCUGUCUUUCCUCUGUCAUCGGGCACAUGGACAGCCCAGCAUCCAAGUGUCACUUUUGGAUGCUGUUGGGGGCUCAGAAAAUAGUCAUGAAGAGGACUCUUUUCUUGUCUGGAGGAUGGGGACUGGGUGUCAGAUGAGGGGAGUGGGUGGCUGGGGUCAUCAAUUUCCACAGUUAUUAUCUGAGAGCCAAUCUUGUUCGUGUUACAUUCCCAGGCUGACCGGCCCUCGCACCCCACUAUUUACAGUGUGGUCACUAAGGAAUUAUUUGUUGAAUGCUGAGCAUUAUAAGACAUUCCACAGCUAGACCGAAAGGAUAUGUGGCUGUCUAUAGAACAUCCUCGUGUGAUUCGAGGGUGCAGAUGUUAAUCACUGUGUAAAUAUCUGAGUAAUUACUGCACCGGCAGCAUUUUUAAGACGCUUUGUCCUGAAAGCAUGGAGCAAGUUGUUCUCACCAGUUGCACUUUAUCCAGACUUAAUAGCUGGCUGGCUUUGACACUAUCAGGAGGUAUUCUCUCUCUUUCUCUUUUUCCAUAAAGGAGAGGUUGACAUCUGCCUUGCGCAAGUGAAUUUCAAAACAUUUGGGAGCGAUUAUAGUGUGUGGAGGGCCUUCCUGACCCACUGAAGUGUCACUGCCUCGUUUAGAGGCUGAGAGGAAUUUGAACCCGUCAGGGUCCCUGGGCUGGUGGCAGAACUGACGUGGAGCCUGCUUUCCUGACUCCCAGGCCAGUGCUCUUUGUUCAAGAUACUCAGUGGCCUUCAAUCCUGCAGCCUUUGCAGAUAAUGGAAGUUUGAAGAACGUGCCCUCCCCACAGUGCACAGCUGGGAUGGGAGAUGGGUGGAGGCCGGUGUUAGCGAAUUUGAGAGAGGACUCCCCGCCGUUUGGGAGAUGGAGAAAUAACAGGUGUCUACAGUGUAUACGUGGAAGUGUGAUGAGCAGGGGAGUUUCCAUUGUGGCUCAAAGGUAACAAACCCGACCGGUAUCCAUGAGGAUGCAGGUUCCAUCCCUGGCCCUGCUCAGUGGGUUAAGGAUCGGGCAUUGGUAUGGCUGUGGUGUAGGCUCUGAUUCGACCCCUAGCCUGGGACCUUCCAUAUGCAGCGGGUGUGGCCCUCAAAAAAUAAUAAAAAAGGAAGCGUGAUGAGCAGCUGUUUUCCUUCCUCAUGAGAGGAAAUGGACUUAAAUUGCUCCAGGAAGGACUUAAGGGCAGAUAGUCAGGAGAACUUCCUGGCUCUGGCUCUGGGAACUCAUCAAAGGCAGAUGCUAUCAGCCGCCGACUCACACCUCCGCUGGCAGUGCUUUCUCUUUUCUCCCAGAGUGCGAGAGCAGAGCAGCCCCCUUAGUGGGCGAGGCACGUUUACCCAGCCUGGAAAUGCGUUCUAAGCAGAGCUUGUAUCCCCUAGGCUCAUUGUUUUCUGCUCUUUGCUAAACAGCUCUGGUCGGGUCAUUUUGGAUCAAGCCAAGCCUACCGAAACCAUGGAAGCUGCCUUGGCUGUCUUUUCUUAGCAGUAGGUCAGGGAAGACAGUGUUCCAGCUUUUAAUCGCUGUUACUCGGGAAUGGGCUGAACUUGCUACCACCGGGGUGCCGCUGAUGGCAGCACACUGCAAGGUGGUGACUGGUGACCUUUUGAAAAGAGAAUAGAACACACCCCUCUGCAUAUGACGAUCCGCUUGUACCUGUGCAUUGGGCACAUGGGAUGUUUACAUCCCAGGUGAAUGUGCCCUGUUUCAGCUGUGUAUUUCUCCUCAUGCAUCUGGGUAUUCAUUGCACCGUCAUACGUGUGGGACAUGUGUGGACAUGGAAAGCAUAUGCGUGGGUGGUGUGUGUGUGAACAUGUGCACGUGACCCUCGUCGGCUUCUCUUUCCAUGUCACCCACGGCUGCAUACACAUGCAGGUAUCUGCAGCACAUUCGCCAACGUCCGUUCUCCUAGCUCGUGCUAUUCCCCUUGCUUUGGGGGGAGAAAUUGUUCAUUGUUGGCAAUGCAGUAAAGAGAAGCCGAUUUCAAUGGAAUGUUCCCUUGCCCGGCAGACACAUUGCCACCGCUUUUAUGCUGCACAUUACACCAUGGUGAAAUUUAGUUAAUUUUAUGGUUUGUUAUUACAACAGCAGAGUGGAUUGAGAGAGGCAGCUUUUGUUGGCGCCAACAUCCCAAAUUUCCUGGGUGUGAUGGGAGUCAAAGCAGGGAGCUAGCAGUGGUUGGAAACCGAGUCCUCGCAGAAGCAAAGCGGCUGCUCUAAUUGGCUUUUAACUUUCAUAACUUAUUGCAAUUAGUUAAUGGGUCAACAGAGGCUUGUCUGCUGCCCUCAAAGAGUAUGUAUCUUGGGCUGGGAAUCAAAAGGCGAGUUCACCGAACACUAAGAAAACAACCAGGAGCUCAACUCUUUGGAUGGAAAGCAAACCUGUUUUGGUGAAGAGAGCGUUACAGCCUGAAUGUUUGAUGUCCGAUUCUCAGCUUUGCCAGUUACUGGCUCCUGCAUCUCUGACCUCAGUUUCUUCAUCUGAGAAGUGGGAUAGCAAUGGCGACCCUCUGGGGUUCCUGGGACAGGAGCUCCUGGAACUUAGCAGGUGCUCAGGAAAUGUUCCUUCUUCUCCCCUCUUGCUAAGGAAGUCUCUCUGUUCCAGAAUCUCUGGAGACAAGAGAAAGCCAGUGCUGUUGGGGUUUUGAAAUCAGACCGAGUACCAAAGGGGAAGGGAUUAAGAAUACACGGUGCUCUUCGAACCCCCAAAUCAGAGCACACGACCUGAGAACUUUGAAAGGAUUGUUUUGGACAUUCCACAGCAAACAUAGGUGCCGCCUGGAUCAGAGGCUGAGCACCUAGGGUGGGAACAUGACGAAAGCCAUUGGCUCACUGGGAGGUAUGCCAUCAGUCACUCCGAGUGAAGCAAAGCUAUUAGCAUUCUUAUUUAUACUACUAAUGAAGCUAAUUAAAUCUUAGAUCCGAAACAGAGUUGGUGUGGACCAGAAAACUUGGAGAGCAGAAGUGCUUUUCACAAGAAUAUGGCUUUCCUUGUUAUUCUUCUCAGCUGGGUCCUUGGAUCCCGCCACCAAUGGUAGGGCAAGCAGAUGACAAAGAAUAUGCCAGCCCCACUCUCAUUCCUCCAAGG